rnacentral:rRNA from 1 species
AGUGAACGCUGGCGGUAGGCCUAACACAUGCAAGUCGAACGGCAGCACAGUAAGAGCUUGCUCUUACGGGUGGCGAGUGGCGGACGGGUGAGGAAUACAUCGGAAUCUACUUUUUCGUGGGGGAUAACGUAGGGAAACUUACGCUAAUACCGCAUACGACCUACGGGUGAAAGCAGGGGAUCUUCGGACCUUGCGCGAUUGAAUGAGCCGAUGUCGGAUUAGCUAGUUGGCGGGGUAAAGGCCUACCAAGGCGACGAUCCGUAGCUGGUCUGAGAGGAUGAUCAGCCACACUGGAACUGAGACACGGUCCAGACUCCUACGGGAGGCAGCAGUGGGGAAUAUUGGACAAUGGGCGCAAGCCUGAUCCAGCCAUACCGCGUGGGUGAAGAAGGCCUUCGGGUUGUAAAGCCCUUUUGUUGGGAAAGAAAAGCAGCAGGUUAAUACCCCGCUGUUCUGACGGUACCCAAAGAAUAAGCACCGGCUAACUUCGUG